rnacentral:rRNA from 1 species
AGCGAGCGCUGGCGGCAGGCCUAACACAUGCAAGUCGAACGAAGUCUUCGGACUUAGUGGCGGACGGGUGAGUGACACGUGGGAACGUGCCUUUAGGUUCGGAAUAACUCAGGGAAACUUGUGCUAAUACCGAAUGUGCCCUUCGGGGGAAAGAUUUAUCGCCUUUAGAGCGGCCCGCGUCUGAUUAGCUAGUUGGUGAGGUAAAGGCUCACCAAGGCGACGAUCAGUAGCUGGUCUGAGAGGAUGAUCAGCCACAUUGGGACUGAGACACGGCCCAAACUCCUACGGGAGGCAGCAGUGGGGAAUCUUGCGCAAUGGGCGAAAGCCUGACGCAGCCAUGCCGCGUGAAUGAUGAAGGUCUUAGGAUUGUAAGAUUCUUUCACCGGGGACGAUAAUGACGGUACCCGGAGAAGAAGCCCCGGCUAACUUCGUGCCAGCCGCCGCGGUAA